rnacentral:rRNA from 1 species
ACGUAGGAUCCGAGCGUUGUCCGGAAUUACUGGGUGUAAAGGGCGUGUAGGUGGGUCUCUAAGUCGGUGGUGAAAUCUUGCAGCUUAACUGUAAAAUUGCCAUCGAUACUGGAGGUCUUGAGUACGGCAGAGGGAAAUGGAAUUCAUGGUGUAGCGGUGAAAUGUGUAGAUAUCAUGAAGAACACCAGUAGCGAAGGCGGUUUCCUGGUCCGUAACUGACACUGAGGCGCGAAAGCGUGGGGAGCAAACAGGAUUAGAUACCCUGGUAGUCCACGCCUUAAACGAUGAAUACUAGGUGCUGGGCCGUAAGGUUCAGUGCCAAAGCUAACGCAUUAAGUAUUCCACCUGGGGAGUACGAUCGCAAGGUUG